rnacentral:lncRNA from 1 species
AAGAUUUUAACUGAUUUACUCAUUAAAAACGCUCCGAUUCUAGCUUAAAUAUGAAAAAUCUAUCAAAUAUGCCAAAAACUGUCACUUUUCAAAUGGUUUUUGUUAAAAAUGAAAGUGGCCGCAUCAGUGUUCAUCCUCGACCUUUGCAUAUGUUAUGUAUUAUCAUCAAACACAACUUACAUUUCAAUAUCAAGAAUGAACACGAAUGCGGCCACUUUCAUUUAAGAGGGAAACCGUCUAAAAUUUAACUAAAAUGCUGAAAUUGUGGAGAUUUCAGUAAUUUAGCAUGACUUAAUGAUGCAAGUACCCGAUAUAUGUGCAUUGUAAUGCCAAAAACAGCCCAUAUUUAUGUAGCAGAGGCAUUAUACUUUCCAAUAAAUAACUAAAAGUUUACAUUUUAACAAUUUUGUAAAACUGCUAUAUUUUGGGGCCAAAAAGGGGUCUUACUGAACCUACUCCUUUUUUGUUUUCACAAAAUUUUAUUUGCACAAGCUGUUUGCCUGAAUGGAAUUAAUUUAACAUGUGCUACAGCAAAAACAACAUCGUAGAUUUGAUCAUUGAAAUCUCAGUAACAAUAGCGAAGUAUGUGGUCAAACUUUGAUAAAAUGAAGAUAAAUAUCACAGGUUGAGCGUCCAUUAACUUUUCGUAGAGUAAUAAGCAGUUUACCUUUAAUACGUGUGUGGAUAACGUAGGUUCAUUGAGUACGAAAAAUAUUUUGGCAUUGCAUCACUGUACAUGCUAUAUAUCAUGUUGACUUACAUUUGUACAUUCAGCAAUAUUUUUAAGCAAACGAGUGUUUUAAAAUGCUAUUUCUAUGAUCCACUGACUCAUUGAGCUUCAAAAACAGUUUUCGUUUAUGUUUUCCUGGCAAAAAUACUUGUAAAAGUAGCCUGUCAUUCACAAAGAUUUUGGCCGCCAUUUAUUUGUUUUUGGAAGAAGACAGAUUACUCAAGCUCAGUAAAGGACAACAACUCUUCAAGACAAAUUAUAUAAUAUUCCUCACCUUGACAAGUCAAUUGAAAAUAAAUUAACUGCAGAAAUAAUUGAUAGGACUUCUUUACUUUAUGACUUAACAUCCCUCCUGUAAUGCUUCAAUAUUUCCAAAAGUGAAUGAGAUGAAGCUUUCCAAUAAAAAUCUCAAAUAAAACAAAAGAAAAUGAAAGUGCAUUUUUAAAAGUAUUAAAUCCAUUGAAUUUCAAAUGAAUGUGAUCCCUGUCAUGUGGGUAGUUUAAUAUAAUAAAAAACAAGAAUGUGUCCAAAGUACACGGAUGCCCCACUCGCAUUAUCAUUUUCCAUGUUCAAUGGACCGUGAAAUUGGGUAAAAAAUCAAAUUUGGCCUGAAAAGUAAAAAGAUCAACCAAAAGCGAACAUGUGUACUAAGUUUCAAGUUGAUUGGACUUCAGCUUCAUCAAAAACUACCUUGACCAAA